AAGAUCUAGAGGUUUAGAUACCUAAAUGAAAUAAUUUUUGAACUUUUUGUUUACUUUUUGCAAUGAGAAUGUAUUAUAGCACUACUUGAGCUUUUUAAAAAAUAAGUACAAGUUUGAAGGAAUCAAUGAGACAAGUCAUGUAAAGUAUUCAGUACAGUGCCUGACUUAUCAUUAGAACUUCAUCAAUUUUCACUAGCUUCACUAUUUUGUUUAAAAGAGGAAGUUAUCGAUACAUAGUGGAAUACAGCACGUGACAGUGGUUUGCAGUGUACUAAAAAUCAAUAGUUGACUUCAGGUUGAAAACUUUUCUUUUAAUUAAAAAUACUGAUCUCCCAAACUGUUAUUCAUAGAUCAUUUGUUUCACUAGCUACUUUCAGUUAAUGCUAGAAAUUAUUCCCCAAAAGGGCCUGUGAUCAAACAAGUAUUAAAAUUCUUAUUGUUUAUUUUUUAAAAUAUAAUACUAUGUUUAAUUGUUUUGUUUUUAAAAAUAUAAUACUACGUUUUAUUGUUUUGUUUUUUUAAUAGUCGGGUUGUCAGAAUGGUACAAUUUAAUUAUGCAUUGUGAGCCUCAAACAGGGAAAUCUUGUAUGGAGGACUCCUGAAACUUACUGAACUUCAGAAUCCUUUCUCUCAAGCAUCCCCAGAGACUUCUCUUCCGUGAAACACCUUUUACAAAAAAUACUUCCUAGACCAUAAUACAUCUAACAGACACCACAACAUCCAUUUACGGACUCUGAACAAAUGAUUAACCACGUGACACAUUGGAUUGGAAAGUACAUCCAGUGCAUCUCUUGGAGAAGACACAGUGCAGAAUUUCCCUUCUAAGAUGACAGCAGUCUGUGGCAAUACCCAGUCAAUGACAAGCAAUUUUAUGUGUUAGGCAAGUACCUGGAAGUCCUCCAGCUAGUCCUUGCCCUGAUGGGAAUGAGGAGAUCUUGCCUUCUUGGAGUUUAUAUUAAUACAAGUGUGCCCAGGAGUCCUCACCAUGGCAAAAGAAGAGGCCUUGUAGGACCGGAUUCAUUUUACAACCACCUUGUUUAAAAAAGACCCUUCUUUCCAGUUCUGUGGGGAGAGAGAGAAGCCAGUGUGUGCAAAGAACUGAAUAAAUCGCACCUGUGAAUGCUGAAGGAGGUGCCUUGUAACUACAAGUGAACUUCAAUCACCAAGACAGUACUGCCUCCCGGGCUGGCCUCUGAGCAACCAAGAAGGAUUCUGUAAUGGAGGAAAUCCAGUCUGACAAUGAGAACUUUAAACUGCGAUCAGCCACAGUUACACAAAAACAGAGGAGAAAACACAAACUCAGAUACUCCCAAUAUUUAAUAUCCAAGCCAGAAUCACUGCUGAGCUAGAAGUUUCUACUCUGGAUCUUGUGAUCCAUUUGGGGCCCACCUCUUUUGCUUACUGCUAGCUGCUUUCUGUCGCUCAGAUUCCAUUUAUCAGGCCAAGGAAGAGAUUUCAGGAGGUUGUUUUGACCCAAUUCUCUGUUUUGAAUAAGCUGAGUCAAUUAUGAAACCUUACCAACCCAGCUUGGAGGAGCAGGGUGCUGGCAGAGAGAAGGUGCUUCAUCCACAGAAUGAAAGAGUUAAAAAUUAUUAGUAGAGAUCAUGUGAUCCAUAAACGUCUAACCUGGACAGUUUGUGAACAAGCAGCAUUAUGGUUACCAUACGCAAUUAUUUGCUGAGUUGAAAAAUGAAUGGCACAAACCCUACGUAUUUUAUCUUUUCUAAAAUUAGCUCACAGUCCUAUUAAUCAGGAGGGGGAGUAAUAAGCCACCUGCAGAUGACAUCCAUGGCAUUUCAUGCCCCGAAGACGUUCAUGUUCUUUUUCUAGGAGGAGUCAUAGUAUUUGCCUUCAACUGGAUGAAUUUAGCACUCCUGUCAUUAAAGCUUUUUCUUCACCCAGAGCCUGUACUUUGUCAGAAAACCAAGUGAUCAAGUUACCAGGCCAGAAAAGCAGUCUAUUUUAAGAAUGAAAAAGUUUUAGCCGAAAGUAUACUAAUUUACUCACUUUGCACAGAGUGAUAGAAAACAGGUCUUCAUAGACUGAGGAUGUGAGCAUUGAUGUCACUUAGUCCAGUAGCUUUCAGAUGCCUCCAGACACUUGACAGUGGUUGAAUUCUGUCCUAGGGGAGGCAUACCUGGUCCUCUGCUACUUAGAAAAGACUAAAGGGAGACUGAAGGGAACCAUUCUGGCCAAAGUAGAGGAAGGGCAUAGAAACCUCAAAUCAUGGCUUUUCCCUUGCUCCAAGUGA